rnacentral:rRNA from 1 species
CGACGUAAAGAACUUGCCUCACAGCUAGGGACAACAUUUAGAAAUGAAUGCUAAUACCUGAUAUUAUGAUUUUAAGGCAUCUUAGAAUUAUGAAAGCUAUAAGCACUGUGAGAGAGCUUUGCGUCCCAUUAGCUAGUUGGAGAGGUAACAGCUCACCAAGGCGAUGAUGGGUAGCCGGCCUGAGAGGGUGAACGGCCACAAGGGGACUGAGACACGGUCCUU